rnacentral:rRNA from 1 species
GACGUAGGAGGCGAGCGUUGUCCGGAAUUACUGGGCGUAAAGAGCGCGCAGGCGGCUGGUCAAGUCCGACGUGAAAUCUCCCGGCUUAACUGGGAAAUUGCAUCGGAAACUGAUCGGCUUGAAGGUGGGAGAGGGUAGCGGAAUUCCCGGUGUAGUGGUGAAAUGCGUAGAUAUCGGGAGGAACACCUGUGGCGAAAGCGGCUCACUGGACCACAACUGACGCUGAGGCGCGAAAGCUAGGGGAGCAAACAGG